GGGGAUUUGGCUCAGUGGUAGAGCGCUUGCCUAGGGAGCGCAAGGUCCUGGGUUCAAUCCCCAGCCCCG
rfam:Rattus norvegicus chromosome 2, whole genome shotgun sequence.